CGGGUGAGUAACGCGUGAGCAAUCCGCCCAUAUCAGGGGAAUAACAGUUAGAAAUGACUGCUAAUACCGCAUAGGACCACGGGGAGGCAUCUCUCUGAGGUGAAAGAUUUAUCGGAUAUGGAUGAGCUCGCGUCCCAUUAGGUAGUUGGUGAGGUAACGGCCCACCAAGCCGACGAUGGGUAGCCGGCCUUAGAGGGUGAUCGGCCACAUUGGAACUGAGACACGGUCCAAACUCCUACGGGAGGCAGCAG
rnacentral:rRNA from 1 species